CGCGGCCUUAACACGUUGAAACACCGGUACCCGUACGAUCACCGAAGUUAAGCAAUGUCGAAUCUGGUCAGUACCUAGAUAAGUUCGUGCAUGGGAAUACCAGGUGCUGUAA